CAUCUGAGGAAGCCAAGGCCUAAGGUCACACUGUUAAUAAGUAGCAGAGCUGAACUUCUAAAGCAGCACGGUCUGACUCAGUCUGACCAAAGUGCACACUUGUUUCCAAAAGUACCUCUCCACAGGUUCCCAGACGCCAUCUUAAAGACUGCAUUAAACCUCGUAAAUAUAAUUAAAAUUUUCAAAUAAAUACAUAUUUGUACAUGCAACCUGAUUUCCAAGUGAGUCACCAAUACAGCACGUCAACUCUCUUCUCCAAACACUGACACCCGUCCCCCUAAAUGAGCAAGGGCAGAGGUAGAUUUUAGGGUGUGCUGUCUUUUACGAAAAUGACAUCUAAGUGAAGGCAUGGCAGCUGACUAAUCUGUUCAGAACUCCUUCUCAGAGAUUUCUCAAAUCCUUUAAGUCUGUGGACCUAGCCCCACAAUGAGAAGAGAAAUCAGCUACAGAACUCCCGAGAGCUCCACCCUAAUGUCCUCACAGGGAGCAGAGUCAGAAGUGAAGUUUUCUGUGUUGUUUCAGAAAGCGAAAUGUACAAGCAACAGGAGCAAGUGACUGCAAAAUCCGUUCCAGUACAGGGUAAGGAAGGAUUUCGUAACCAUCACAACAGGCCAACAGUGGAUGCGGCCGUCUUGAUCGGUACUGAGAUGCCUGUCACUUACAGGAUUCAAAAAGCAAUGAGUGACGCAUCAGACCUGCUAGAGAAGGGAUUUUUGCAUAAAAAUAAAUUCUGUGACUCUCCACCGUAUGCUUUGCAUUUUUGCUCCUCAUUGGUAAGACCAACCCUUGACGUGGCCUUAGGGGAGGACAUCCCUCAGAUGAGGCAAUUGUACAGCGCCUGGGGAGGCAGCCGGCCGCCUAGAGGCCUCGGUGGAAUUCCUUGGUUUUGGAAAUAGCCUGGAGAACAAAGCACCCUUAUCUCUGGAGAGGCAGCUGAGAUUCUGUGGGCUCCUGCUCCCUCGGGGCUUGGCUUGCCCCGUCGUCCAGGGGCCACCAUCUGGGCCCAGAAGCCUGAUGGGGGGGGGGCGGUCCACAGACUAGCUGGCCACCCACCUUGGCACAUAGGGUAUUUGGUAUCCCCUAGGCAUGUUGGAUAAAGACAGGUAGCCCUCUAAGCCUCACUGUUCCCAUCUGUGAAAUGGGGAUAAUAAAAGUACUCAACGCAA